ACAACCACCAGCGACAUCAAUCUCUCGCUUCCUGCUCCACUUCUCGGCGCCCACAUCUCCAACUGGCUCAGGCUCCCCAUGUCCCCAGCCGGUACGGAGCUGCGGUCAGCGGAUUGUGCGGCUGAGCCAUCCUCGUGACGGUCCCGCCUCACUCACCCUCCGUCACCUCCAGCACCUUAAUCUGUUCUUCAGCAGCCGCCCGCACCUCCUGUACUGGGGAUAGGAUCCCGGUGAGCGUAUCCACUAACGCUUCCUUUAAUCCUUGUGCCACUGGACCCGGCAGCCCGGAGGCCGCACCAGCUGCCGCCGCCGCCGCCAUCUUUUCUCCCCUCAGCCCGCCAGCCCCGCGGCCGGGACCCGCCACCGAAUGACGGCCCCCGCGCGCGGCCAAUCCGCGAAGCCGCGCCUGCGCACCAGAGGCGGGCGGGAGCGGGCGGAGGGCGGGGAAUGAAUCUAAGCCUCCAGAGACAGCGCCUCCUGCUGCCUGAACGAGAACUGCACCUUUCUCUGCAAGGAUCUCUGGAUUUGUGUGAAAACUGAGCCCCAGACAGGUUAAGGGGCUUUCCUAAAGUUGCACAAAUGGCUUCUACUCACCAGAGGAUCUGAGUCCAGAGAACUUGGGGUGCUGUCUUUGACUGUCCUAUCCUCGGGAGGCGCAGUGGCUCAUGCCUGUAAUCCCAGCAUUUAGGGAGGCCAAGACAGGAAGAUCACUUGAGGUCAGAAGUUCAAGACCAGCCUGGCCAACGUGGUGAAACCCUGUUUCUACU
rnacentral:lncRNA from 10 species